CCUACGGGUGGCAGCAGUGAGGAAUAUUGGUCAAUGGACGAGAGUCUGAACCAGCCACGUAGCGUGAAGGAUGACUGCCCUAUGGGUUUUAAACUUCUUUUAUAUGGGAAUAAAUUGUUCUACGUGUGGGAUUUUGUAUGUCCCAUUUGAAUCAGGCACGGCUAAUUCCGCGCCAGCAGCCGCGGUAAUACGGAGGUUCCGAGCGUUAUCCGGAUUUAGUGGGUUUAAAGGGAGCGUAGGUGGAUUGUUAAGUCAGUUGUGAAAGUUUGCGGCUCAACCGUAAAAUUGCAGUUGAAACUGGCAGUCUUGAGUACAGUAGAGGUGAGUGGAAUUCGUGGUGUAGCGGUGAAAUGCUUAGAUAUCACGAAGAACUCCGAUUGCGAAGGCAGCUCACUGGACUGCAACUGACACUGAGGCUCGAAAGUGUGGGUAUCAAACAGGAUUAGAUACCCGAGUAGUC
rnacentral:rRNA from 1 species